ACUGUAGGGAGUUCAGUCACGUGACAGCACGGUGAAAAAUCUUCGUCACGCGUCAUGCAUGCAUUUAUGACGUGAGCAUGGCACAAAAAUGUGCCACGUGGAAAUAUUGAUUUUUUUUUAGACUUGUAGUUUGUUGAAGAAGGAGAUGACAGCCAUUUGACAGAGGAGAUUUUUAGCUUUCGUUUGGUGUCUCACUCGAGGUCACAGUCGUGAGAUGGGACUUCCCACGUCUUGCCGUAAAACUUUGAACGCGAUUUUGAUGUUGUUCCUUUGAGCGUUGACGGACGGUGAUUCUUCCAUCGUGUUCCUCGUCCCAAAAUUAGCGAGAAUUUGAAUAUUUGAAUUCUUCAUGGCCGAUGAGGAGGAGAAUAGCCCUGGACCUGCAUGUCGGAGGCUUGGUAUUUAUUCAAGCAAACUGAGAAAUGCGUUGAAAUCAGACGAAGCUCUUACCUGUUUGAAGACGAGUGAUUUUCCUGUCACCAACGAUGUCGUUCUGGAGCUACUUACAUUCAAAAAUGCCUCGAAGUUUUCGUUCAACGAUAUGUUGAAAUGGACUGGUUCUCUGAUAGGUUCCAGUACCAAAGAUAUUGCUGUUGGCACGUUUGCCUCUAGAGUCCGUUCUCUGCAGCAACGUCGAGCAAGGCUGCUGAAGGACAAAGCCAGCGAUCAGAUUGCUGUCCUACUGGCUGAGCCCUUUAUACUACCCUCUCCAUCAUCCGGCCAGUCGGAGUCAGGUGAGCGUCAGGAAGCAACUCCGCUUGACCCAACCGGCCACACCAGCAGCUCGGCUCAUGUUGCAGGCAGUCAGCACGCAACUCCCCUGGAGCCAACCACUUACACCACCAGUCCGGCUGAUGUGGACAGUCAGCGAGCAGCUUCGUCAGAGCCAGCCGCCAACACCACCACCUCGGCUGACAAUGUAGAUUGCGAGCUGGAGCCAACAGCAAAACGGCUCCGCGUUGAAAAUGAAUAAUUUUAUUGUCCAAAUACAUGGUCAAAGACAUGGUCAAGACAAGUUUGUGGUUAUUGUGUUGACUGUUUUUAUUGUCUUUUUUGUGUCUUCCCCUCUUCCAACUGUUCUCUUCACUUUUUUUCUGUUCCGUUGCUAUGGUAACAAUGCUAGAAUUUCCCGUUAACACUGUUAACCUACAUUCCAUUUUUGUUUUACCACGCUUGUGCAACGUUUUCACUCCAUAUUGUCAUCAUUGAUAUGUUUCGUUGCGUUUCUGCAAUGUUGCUAGGGGUUGCCAUGGAAACAAUACACGGCGACGUGCCGUCAGGUAGUUGUUGUACAUAGAAAUGUUUGUACAUUAUUGCUUAUCAUAUAGGCCUGUCAUUUGGGCUCUUUUCAGCGAACUUUUUGUUUUUGUCACUAUGUCCCCUGGUCAACUUCCCCUGGGUCCGUUUGUCAGUUUGUGCCAUGCGUGCUAUACACGUUUACAUACAAUUCAACACAAUUCUAUGAUGAUUGGCACCACAAUUGAAAUGACUGUAUCUCAGGUUUGCUUUGAGAUUUUCACAUGAAAUUUUCUGUGUGCUCUUGAAAGACGUGCUUAUUCGAUUU